rnacentral:tmRNA from 1 species
GGGGGCGACCGGUUUCGACGGGGACACUGACGCCACUGACGCAUGCCGAGCUCCUGGAGACUCGUUAAACCUCGAGGAACAUACACAACUGCCAACCAAGAACUGGCACUCGCAGCUUAAGCUGUGACGUUCUCUCAUCUCUUGCCUGCGGGGGUGAGGGGGCGCGAUGUGGCAGGCUGGCCCGACUCCGGUGCUCAGCGGGGAAGGGCGAGACCUUUCUGAGCUAGCGGCCGUUCUUAGCCCGUCGGCGGACAUGAACGGUGGCGAAUCCAAAUCGCCGACUACGCAUGGAGGGUCGGUGCGCUGACGGUCUUCGGACGCGAGUUCAACUCUCGCCGCCUCCACCA